rnacentral:rRNA from 1 species
AGAACGAACGCUGGCGGCGUGGAUAAGACAUGCAAGUCGAACGGAAUUGUUUGAUAGUAAUAUCGAGCAAUUCAGUGGCGAACGGGUGCGUAACACGUGGAUUACAUUCCGGAAAGCGGGGGAUAGCCCAGGGAAACUUGGAUUAAUACCCCAUGUGGUCGCAAGACUAAAGGCGCAAGCCGCUUUCUGAUUGGUCCGCGGCCUAUCAGCUAGUUGGUGAGGUAAUGGCUCACCAAGGCUACGACGGGUAGCUGGUCUAAGAGGACGACCAGCCACACUGGAACUGAGACACGGUCCAGACACCUACGGGUGGCAGCAGUCGAGAAUCUUUCACAAUGGGGGCAACCCUGAUGGAGCGACGCCGCGUGGAGGAUAAGGUCUUCGGAUUGUAAACUCCUGUCAUGCGAGAACAAGCCGCAAGGUCUGAUAGUAUCGCAAGAGGAAGAGACGGCUAACUCUGUGCCAGCAGCCGC